AUUGAACGCUGGCGGCAGGCCUAACACAUGCAAGUCGAGCGGAGCGGCGGACGGGUGAGUAAUGCCUAGGAAUCUGCCUGGUAGUGGGGGAUAACGUCCGGAAACGGGCGCUAAUACCGCAUACUAUCAGAUGAGCCUAGGUCGGAUUAGCUAGUUGGUGGGGUAAAGGCCUACCAAGGCGACGAUCCGUAACUGGUCUGAGAGGAUGAUCAGUCACACUGGAACUGGGAAACGGUCCAGACUCCUACGGGAGGCAGCAGUGGGGAAUAUUGCGCAAUGGGCGAAAGUCUGAUGCAGCGACGUCGUGUGGGGGAUGAAGGCCUUCGGGUUGUAAACUCCUUUCGCCAGCGGAUGGUAGUGGGUAAAGAAGCGCCGGCUAACUACGUGCCAGCAGCCGCGGUAAUUC
rnacentral:rRNA from 1 species